rnacentral:rRNA from 1 species
UACGUAGGUGGCAAGCGUUGUCCGGAUUUAUUGGGCGUAAAGAGCGUGUAGGCGGCUUGGUAGGUCCGCUGUGAAAACUCGAGGCUCAACCUCGAGAUGUCGGCGGAAACCACUUGGCUAGAGUCCGGAAGAGGAGAGUGGAAUUCCUGGUGUAGCGGUGAAAUGCGCAGAUAUCAGGAAGAACACCUAUGGCGAAGGCAGCUCUCUGGGACGGUACUGACGCUGAGACGCGAAAGCGUGGGGGAGCGAACAGG